GAUGAACGCUGGCGGCGUGCCUAAUACAUGCAAGUAGAACGCUGAAGGCUGAGCUUGCUCUUCUGUUUGAGUUGCUAAAGUGUGAGUCACGCGUAGGUAACCUGCCUGGUAGCGGGGGAUAACUAUUGUAAACGUUAGCUACUACCUCUUGUUAACAGUUAUUGCAUGAUAACUUUUUAAAAGGGGCAACUGCUCUACUACCAGAUGGACCUGCGUUGUAUUAGCUAGUUGGUGUGGUAACGGCUCACCAAGGCGACGAUAGAUACCCGGCGUGAGACGGUGAUGGGCGACACUGGGAAUGAGACACGGCCCAGACUCCUACGGGAGGCAGCAGUAGGGAGUGGUGAGUAAUGGACGGAAGUCGGAAGGAGCAACGACGGGUGAGUGAAGAAGGUUGUCGGAUCGUAAAGCGCUGUUGUAAGAGAAGAACGAGGGAGAGAGUGGAAAGGACAGACUGUGACGGUAGCUGAAGAGAAAGGGACGGCUAACUACGUG
rnacentral:rRNA from 1 species